CCUACGGGAGGCAGCAGUGGGGAAUAUUGGGCAAUGGAGGAAACUCUGACCCAGCAACGCCGCGUGAAUGAUGAAGGUCUUCGGAUUGUAAAGCUCUUUUCUUAGGGAAGAAGAAAGUGACGGUACCUUAGGAUUAAGCCUCCGCUAACUACGGGCCAGCACCCGCGGUAAUACGUAGGAGGCGAGCGUUAUCCGGAAUGACUGGGCGUAAAGGGUGCGUAGGUGGUUUGGCAAGUUAGUAGCGUAACUCCAAGGCGGAACCUUGGAACUACUACUAAAACUGGUGGACUUGAGUGCAGGGGAGGCAAGCGGAAUUCGUGGUGUAGCGGUGGAAUGCGUAGAUAUUAGGAGGAACACCAGUGGCGAAGGCGGGUUGCUGGACUGUAACUGACGCUGAGGCACGAAAGCGUGGGGAGCAAACAGGAUUAGAUACCCUUGUAGUC
rnacentral:rRNA from 1 species